UACGUAGGGGGCAAGCGUUGUCCGGAAUGACUGGGCGUAAAGGGUGUGUAGGCGGUUUGGCAAGUUAGAAGUGAAAUACCUAGGGCUUAACUCAGGUGCUGCUUCUAAAACUGUUAGACUUGAGUGCAGGAGAGGUAAAUGGAAUUCCUAGUGUAGCGGUGGAAUGCGUAGAUAUUAGGAGGAACACCAGAGGCGAAGGCGAUUUACUGGACUGUAACUGACGCUGAGACACGAAAGUGUGGGGAGCAAACAGG
rnacentral:rRNA from 1 species